rnacentral:tRNA from 1 species
GCGGGUGUAACUCAGUGGUAGAGUGCCUGCCUUCCAAGCAGGUUGUCGCGAGUUCGAGUCUCGUCGCCCGCU